rnacentral:rRNA from 1 species
UACGUAGGGACCAAGCGUUGUCCGGAAUCAUUGGGCGUAAAGAGCGUGUAGGCGGCUUGUUAAGUCUUGCGUGAAAUCUCGGGGCUCAACCCCAAGCGGUCGUGAGAAACUGGCAGGCUAGAGUGCGGGAGAGGAGAGUGGAAUUCCUGGUGUAGCGGUGAAAUGCGCAGAUAUCAGGAGGAACACCGGUGGCGAAGGCGGAUCUCUGGGCCUGUUCUGACGCUGAGGCGCGAAAGCUAGGGGAGCGAACAGG